rnacentral:miRNA from 1 species
UAUAAGGUUUGAGCUGUGUAUGUGUGUGUAUCUGCACACACACACACACACACACACACACACACACACACACACACACACACACA